UUGACAUUGUUGUUGCAUUGUAUACUGUAAAUCUGGUGGUUUUGCUUCGUGGAUAAGAAAUUGGCAGAACUCCCCGAUAAGACCAAUGCUUCAUUAUCUCCUUUGCUUCCGUUGAGUGGUAAAGACAAGGCAAGCACAACUAAACCAGAGCACCAUGUCCUCUUGAAUGGAAAUUCUGGGGAUUCUGCAGAUUGGGUAUGAUAUCUAUAAAUAGUCUUCCCCCCUCACAUUUCUUACCAACCCAGCCCAAACACGCUGGUUUGCUGACAUUGACAUUGGUGAAUUCUGUUGGUCCAGAGACAGAACACAAGUCAAUGGCAAGAUUUUAGAUGAUGGAAAUGCAGUCCAUGCAGAUUCGGCUAUGAAUGGUAAAUAGUGGUUUUGCUGAGCUGAGUUGGCUGAUGUUAUCAGGACUGAUAUUUAAAACCAUGCAACCUCAACUUUGUGGACUGGUUUAGAUGUGGUAGACUUUGAUCUGUAUUCUAGUGGAAAUGGAAGUUUGAGUUCUUGUUAA